CAUUUUUGAAAAACCUAGCGUAAAUACUAUAAGUAUUCUAAGGUUUAAUUAGCCUUCAAAACCA
rnacentral:tRNA from 1 species